rnacentral:rRNA from 1 species
GACGAACGCUGGCGGCGUGCCUAAUACAUGCAAGUCGAGCGGACUGAUUAAGAGCUUGCUCUUAUGACGUUAGCGGCGGACGGGUGAGUAACACGUGGGCAACCUGCCCUGUAGAUCGGGAUAACACCGAGAAAUCGGUGCUAAUACCGGGUAAUAUCUGAGAUCACAUGAUCUUAGGUUAAAAGAUGGCUCCGGCUAUCACUACAGGAUGGGCCCGCGGCGCAUUAGCUAGUUGGUAAGGUAAUGGCUUACCAAGGCGACGAUGCGUAGCCGACCUGAGAGGGUGAUCGGCCACACUGGGACUGAGAGACGGCCCAGACUCCUACGGGAGGCAGCAGUAGGGAAUCUUCCGCAAUGGACGAAAGGCUGACGGAGCAACGCCGCGUGAGUGAUGAAGGGGUUCGGCUCGUAAAGCUCUGUUGUUAGGGAAGAAACAGUACCGAACGAACUAGGUCGGUACCUUGACGGUACCUAACCAGAAAGCCACGGCUAACUACGUG